rnacentral:rRNA from 1 species
UUUGGGAUAACGCCCGGAAACGGGUGCUAAUACUGGAUAUUCACUGGUCUUCGCAUGGGGGUUGGUGGAAAGGGUUUUUCUGGUGGGGGAUGGGCUCGCGGCCUAUCAGCUUGUUGGUGGGGUGAUGGCCUACCAAGGCUUUGACGGGUAGCCGGCCUGAGAGGGUGACCGGUCACAUUGGGACUGAGAUACGGCCCAG